AACAAAGCAUCUGCUCUGCUGGCUAAGCUUGAGAUGUUCCCCUGUCCUCAGGACACUCUGCAUAUUGACUUUGGGAGCCAGGAAGCCACCUCCAAUUCACAGAGCUGGUGCUUCUGCCUCAUUCAUGAAAGGAUCCGCCAAAACCUGAUCCAGUUAACAGAAACAGGGUUUCACCAUGUUGGACAGGCUGGUCAUGAACUCCUGACUUCAGGUUUUCUCAGCUGUGAUGGAAACCUCACUAUCACUUGAGCCCAUGCCCACAUUGCUUCCCUGGGACCUGAGGGGCAAGGGAAAUUGAUGUGAACAUGAAUCACAUGCUGCCUGCUGUGCUAUCAUAAUAUCCGGGAUGAUACAAAAUCUACUGAGAUACUCUACCUUCAACUAUAGACAGGUAAAGCCUACAUUAUUAAUGAAAAAAUAGCUCUGUGUGUCUAGAGUUUACAUGUAAGUGUAUAUAAUAGCAUAUAUACAUAUAUAUAUAUGUAUAUAUAUGUAGAUUCAUGUAUAUAUACACACACACACAUAAGCCAAGGUCCAGUUUAAAAUCAUGUUAUUCCAAAGUGCUCAUUCUUUAUUCUUAAAUCAAAGUAGAGCCAUCUACUUUGUUAUAAAAUUUGUUAUACUAUGUUUGUUAACAAAUAUCAUUUUGGUGGAUGGAUUGUGGCUGCUUUUAUUAUUUCACUUAAUUUAGGGAGGUACUUCUUGAGAUAUUGGCCAAUACAAAGCCAUGUCACAGAGUAAGGAAAUGCUGCCAAUACUGAUAGCAUUUUCGGUGCUGAGCCCUUCUCUAGUUUGUAGAAUUGCACAUAGGCAUCCUUCUCGAUAGUAAACAUUUGGCUGUCCAAACAAACUUGCUACAUUCCUUCCACAUCUUAUUAUGUAAAUGUUUCUAUUUGGUUUUACUGAUUGGUGUCUCUAUCUCCUCUCUCUCUUGUUUUAUUUGUAUAAUAAAAUGCCUCUAAGAGAAGAUAAAUGAGACCCACUAAUAAAAAAAAAUCAUGCAAAACCUAAAACUGUAUUAUUCAAGGCUAAUGAAAUGGCAGGUGCUAUCCGGUCAUCUAGCCUGCUGAAAGUUCUUGGAGACCCAUCCACCCAAAGAAUUCAAAUUGGCGUCAGUUUCAUCUGUGGUUUGGCGCCAUCUUGUGGCACUUGUUCACAUCAGCUUAAAUAGAGACGGGGAUCAUUCUGCCUUUCGUGGCUGCCUGGUACUCCUUGUAGGGAAGUUGUAAAUUCAGAAAUAUCACACUUACAUGGUUCUAUAGUUAGUUGGAGACUUGGUUACGUCCAUCAGUCAUAUAUGAAGAGACCUAGGCAGAGAAAAUACUGGAAAUGUAGAACACACUGUCUCCUGAGUCAUGCUUCCGGUGCUUGCCCUCUGCCCACCCUCUCCAAAAGAUGAAAGUUAGCCCAUUCUUUUUAUAUCUGAGCUUAACUUAUUGCAAUGUUUUCUAUAUUUAAAAUAUAUUUACCAUUUUCUUGUGUACAGCUUACUUGAGAUUAUGUUUCAGGUAAUUUAUUUAUUUCAUUUAGAUCCAAAAGCACUGAGCAAAUCCAAUGAAUAAGGGUGAUAUACAAAAUACUUAAAUGCUGGUAAGGCAUAGACAUUGAUCAUGAAGCGAUAUUGUCCAUAAACAACAACUAUAGCCUUGUACCCAUCUGGCUUGGUGUCAGUCCCACCAGCAGGCUAUGCCCCAGAUUUACACUGUCAAAACAAUAGAGGGCCAGCAGCUUGCUCUCCAAGCUCCCUUCUUAUAUUACAAUGCUUCUUGAGUUAAGGAGACUCUGAUAUAAACGGUCCCAGGAUAUUAGCAAAUAAAGUCAUGAUGAAAAGUUGACAUUGAGAGAUUUCAAAUUUUAUGAAGAGUUACAGAAAACUAAAUAAUAUCUGGAUUUUCUUUCCUUUAAUAUUUCUGUAUGUAAUUUAAUUAACUAGUGUGGCAAGAUUUGUGCCACCUCUCUUUUUCUUUUCAAUAGUAUUUCAACUAUAUUAUAAACUAUGAAGGCUUUUGCUGACCCACCUGACAACAGAGUUGCCACUUUCUACCUUCCAAGUUUCCAACUGCUACAAUACAAAUUGGACUUUUAAAAUGCGAGAUUGGUGACCUCAUUGAUUUCAGUAGGGGAUCAUUUCAACCCUACUGAAGAAUUAGUACUAUUGGCCAUUCACAUGUUAAUAUGAAUGACCUUGGGUUGCUUCUUCUCUAACAUAAAACUAAGCCAAGUGGAGUACCUGCCUUGAGAUGAGAUCUAUAUAUUUUAGGCUUUGCUCUGGUUCUCUUCCAGUCAUUCUCCUUCCUAUAGAGUAAGGAGUCCUCAGGACCAGGGACAUGUGCCUAGCUGAAAUCCAUGUCUCUGUCUUCUUAGACACGUACAGGUACUGAAGAUUUGGAAACUUCCUUUCCAAAAAGACUUGAGCCUGUUUUCAGAUCUUAGUAAAGUUCUUUCCUUUACUGCAAGGUUGUGUGUACCACUAGGCCCCAGGUUUGACAACAGAAGAGCUGUUUUGGGGUAAGGGUUGGAUAAAGCUUGGACAUAGAUAUUAAUGAGGCCCUUGAGCUGUGGGAUGGAGCACAACGUGGGAAAGAAACCAGGACUUAAACUGAGAACCAGGGGCAGGCGGCUCUGUUCUCCUGCACCCUCGUUUCAGGGUGGACUCUAAAGAGCAUAAAAAUUCUAACUUUGAAUCAGUUUUCCAGGUCAUUAUAAGGGAAUGUAUGUCAGGGUGGGAAGCUAGAACCAUGUUUUAUUUAAUAGUUGCUUAACAAUAUGUUUUACAACUUUUAGCUAUUUCAUAAUAUGGUAUAAGUGUCUCUAUUUGUACUUCUGCUCUGGGCUCUACCACUGUUCAAAGUUGAUUUAGGAGGUGAGUGGGGAAAAGGAGCAUUAUUUUCCUAGUUCUGUAAUACCACACAUCAUCUCGUCCAUUUGGACACAGAGGAGCAAUGGAAUUUUAUAUAUUUCCAUAUAGUUUUUCAUUUUCCUUCUUGCUUGUCUGUAGACCACAUCAGUUGCUGCCAACUUCUACUCCUAAGUCCCUGAUCCUUUUAUUUAAAUAAAAAACCUCAAGAGAGAGAAGUUGGCAAAUGGAAAUUAGAAACAAAGUAAAUUAAGACAUACAAUCUGAAAUUAAUCAACUUGAUGAAUCUUGACCAAAUUAAAUUCAAAGAUAAAAUCUACCAAACAAAGCUCUCCUCAAUUAAAGCAAGAAUCUAAAACUUGACAAAGGACAAGAUGGAGAGGAAAUAACAUGAAAUAUAAGUAUACCUUCUGAAAAUAACUAACAGUCAAACUCAUAUGUAUAUGGUUUUGUUAUGGUAUCUUAAAAAAUAAUUUUUUUCUUAAGUUGUAGAUUCAUCUUCAAGAUUCAAAAACCUUGGUGGUCUCUUAAAUAGUUUGUUAAAGUAUGUAGAAUUUGACUGGGUGCAUAUAUUGAUUCCUCAAAUAAUCUCAUGUCUCCUCUAGAGCCCAAAUGAAGUAGGACAUCUGAGUAUUAAAACAGCAUUAAAAUGUAAACAAGCACAAUUUUGAGUUUAAGCUGAGUUGUAGCAAAAAGAUUGUAAUAUAGGCAAUUAAGAGAAAUUUCCCCACAUUAUAGGGUGUUUCAUUCACAGUGGGCUAUGAUCCAAUAGAGCAGAAAUAUUGAACGAUGCUAUUGGAUUGGAAAUUGAUAUUUACAGGGCUUUCUAUCUUUAGAAAACUCUAUUAGUAAAAAAUAUAUAAUUUUAUAUUAUCUAUAUAACUAAUUUCAUUCUU